GACGAACGCUGGCGGCGUGCUUAACACAUGCAAGUCGAACGAAGUGGCGAACGGGUGAGUAACGCGUAAUCAACCUGCCCUUCAGAGGGGGACAACAGUUGGAAACGACUGCUAAUACCGCAUACUGAAGGAGGGGAUUGCGUGUGAUUAGCUAGUUGGGGGGGUAACGGCCCACCAAGGCGAUGGUCAGUAGCCGGUCUGAGGGGGUGAAAGGGCACAUUGGGACUGAGACACGGCCCAGAAUCCUACGGGAGGCAAGCGGGGGGAAACUUCCGCAAUGGACGAAAAUCUGACGGAGCAACGCCGGGUGAGUGAUGACGGCCUUCGGGUUGUAAAGCUAUGUUAAUCGGGACGCGGUACCGGAAUAGAAAGCCACGGCUAACUACGUGCCAGCAGCCGCGGUAAUAC
rnacentral:rRNA from 1 species